UUGAUGGGGUAAGGCUCCCAGUAGACGACUGGGUUGAUAGGCCGGAUCUGGAAGCCCAGUAAUGGGUGGAGGUGACCGGUACUAAUAGGCCGAGGGCUUGUCCUCAGUUG
rnacentral:rRNA from 2 species